rnacentral:rRNA from 1 species
AGAGUUUGAUCCUGGCUCAGGACGAACGCUGGCGGCGUGCUCAAUACAUGCAAGUCGAGCGAGAGUAGCAAUACUCGAGCGGCGGACGGGUGAGUAACGCGUGGGCAAUCUGCCCUCUAGCCCGGGAUAACAGUUCGAAAGGACUGCUAACACCGGAUAUGCUCCCACCCUGGCAUCAGGGAGAGAGAAAAGUUUACACUAGAGGAUGAGCCCGCGUCCCAUUAGCUAGUUGGUGAGGUAACGGCCCACCAAGGCGACGAUGGGUAGCCGACCUGAGAGGGUGGACGGCCACACUGGGACUGAGACACGGCCCAGACUCCUACGGGAGGCAGCAGUAGGGAAUUUUCCGCAAUGGGCGAAAGCCUGACGGAGCAACGCCGCGUGAGGGAUGAAGGUUUUCGGAUCGUAAACCUCUGUCUUCAGGGACGAUAAUGACGGUACCUGAGGAGGAAGCCACGGCUAACUACGUGCCAGCAGCCGCGGUAAUACGUAGGUAGCAAGCGUUGUCCGGAAUUACUGGGCGUAAAGGGCGUGUAGGCGGCCUUUUAAGUCAGGCGUGAAAUCCAUGGGCUUAGCCCAUGAAUUGCGUUUGAAACUGGAGGGCUUGAGGAUCGGAGAGGGCAGUGGAAUUCCCAGUGUAGCGGUGAAAUGCGUAGAUAUUGGGAGGAACACCAGUGGCGAAGGCGACUGCCUGGACGACACCUGACGCUGAGGCGCGAAAGCUAGGGGAGCAAACGGGAUUAGAUACCCUGGUAGUCC